rnacentral:rRNA from 1 species
UGAGGAAUAUUGGUCAAUGGGCGCAAGCCUGAACCAGCCAUCCCGCGUGCAGGAUGACGGCCCUAUGGGUUGUAAACUGCUUUUGUACAGGAAGAAAAAUCCCUACGAGUAGGGGCCUGCCGGUACUGUAAGAAUAAGCACCGGCUAACUUCGUGCCAGCAGCCGCGGUAAUACGAAGGGUGCAAGCGUUACUCGGAAUUACUGGGCGUAAAGCGUGCGUAGGUGGUUGUUUAAGUCUGAUGUGAAAGCCCUGGGCUCAACCUGGGAAUGGCAUUGGAAACUGGGCAGCUAGAGUGCGGUAGAGGGUAGUGGAAUUCCCGGUGUAGCAGUGAAAUGCGUAGAGAUCGGGAGGAACAUCUGUGGCGAAGGCGACUGCCUGGACCAGCACUGACACUGAGGCACGAAAGCGUGGGGAGCAAACA